GGAGGGUUGCCGGAGUGGUUAACGGAGCAGUUUGCUAAACUGUCGACUCGUAAGGGUCGCAAGGGUUCGAAUCCCUUACCCUCCG
rnacentral:tRNA from 1 species